rnacentral:lncRNA from 1 species
AGGGUAUUCCCUAGAUACAUGCACCAUAUUUAUUUAAUUAAUUUUAUACUGAUAGUCGGGUGCCUUCUGGUUUUCUCCCCUGUGUUCAUGUGCAAUCCAAUCCUAGGGAGAAAUACUUAGAGUAGGGGUGUCACUGUCGAGGGGUCUGUAUGUUGAUAGAGCUUUUCAUGCAUAUUUAUGUUCUUCUUUGCAGAAGGAUCUUGCUGAUGGAAACUCACUACCAGCAGAUAACACGUGCUUAUGGCCUUCCCACCCCUAGCACAUGCAUUAAGUGUUCUGAAACAUUUCCACCCGUCUACUGGCUGAAAAUGAUGUACAAUUUUUGUAUUGAGUUCAAUGUCAUUGGUCAUCAAUGGGGUGGAAUGCAUUUCAUCACUUGCCAUCUGAUUGUCUUAUUACAGAAAUUCCCUCUAAUCAUGUUUCUACUGGAAAAAAUAUAUAAUUGACCAUAAGAGCUCAAGAAUAGUAUUUACCACAGUGAGCUUUGAUCUAAGAUGGAGUCUUUAUGUUCUUCUCAAAUGUUUGCUUCUAAGCAGGCCUUCUUCUACAGACUUUGUUUUUGUGAAAUCUACAAACUCUUUCCUUCGGCAUUUUUUUCUUUUGCUCACAUACUCUGAAAGACCUAAAACAAAACUGGCAUUUUAAAAGAAAUUGGGGCCAGACUCCUUGGACAUUAAGUAGUGACAAACAUUUAAAGAGAAAAUGGCACCUGGAUUGUUAGAUUUUUUUUUUAAACGUUGGGAGAUUAUGCAUCAUGAGUCCAUGAAAGACAGAAAUAACCAUGAUUCACAAUCACUGUGUGACUGUGGUUUCCUAAGAAUCAUUACACUUCAAAGUCUACUCUAGAGCCUGGCACCGCUGACCUUCUGUUCUUUCUGUGUCUUUGUUCCAUGCCAAGACACCCAUUUUGUCUUUCCUGAGUCCUGUUACAAACCUAGACAGUUUGCUGAGCUCGCAGUUGAGAUCUGCAACACCUCCUGUUGCACUGUGUUUCCCUGGCUCCCCAGGAAAAUGUUAAGUGAAAAAUGCUUCGUAGAGAGCAGAUGUGUUUGUCGUUAAAGCUGGCAAUGCCUUCCAAAGUAAAGACAUGGAAAGAUUACACAAACUAUACAUGAAUGGCAGGAAGAAACUCUCAGUUUCUCUUAGUUUGCUCAGGCAAACUAAGGCAGAGGGCCACCCCAAAAGGAUUUAAAAAUAUCAGGUAAGAAUAUUAUUGACUUUCAUAUUGACUGUAAUACAGACAUAAUUGACUGUAAAUACUACUUACUGUGGUUUAUUUAGAUAGAUUCACAGAGACGUCAGAUUCUACACUCAGUACUUUAUCCAGCUUUCAUUUCAUUAGAGAUUUCCUGGGAUGUGGUAUAUUUUUAAACCAUAAAGCUAAGAAAGUAACAGCUAAAAACCGGCAUUUCAUAGGAAUAUGCCAUGACUUGGAAGGCUUGGGAAGGUCUAUGCGUAUACUUUUAAAAAAUGUUGUUUUUUGUUUUUGCUUUGGAUAAUUGUGCAACAUCUAUGAGGAUUGAGUUAAGAAAUUUACUGGACUAGAAUGUAGUUUGUAUACAGCAAAUAUACAAAGUAGUAACAAACAGUGAACUAAGUAAUGGCAUAUUGUCUUUGUCUAAUUUCUAUCGUCAUAUUCAACUUUCUCUGGGAUUAUUAAAGACCUAUAAUUAUAUCAUGUAUAUUUUCAGCAAAAAUAAAUCUGUUGUUUAUGUUGUUUGUGGAACAGCCUUCUUGGUCUACCUGUUAUGAUUCAAUUAAACAUUUU